rnacentral:rRNA from 1 species
GAUGAACGCUGGCGGCGUGCCUAAUACAUGCAAGUCGAGCGAAGCGGGGACGGGUGAGUAAAACGUGGAUAACCUCCUAUAAGACUGGGAUAACCUCGGGAAACCGGAGCUAAAACGGAUAAUUUUAGAUGAAUCCACGCUGCAUUAGCUAGUUGGUAAGGUAACGGCUUACCAAGGCAACGAUGCAUAGCCGACCUGAGAGGGGGAUCGGCCACACGGGAACUGAGACACGGUCCAGACUCCUACGGGAGGCAGCAGUAGGGAAUCUUCCGCAAUGGGCGAAAGCCUGACGGAGCCACGCCGCGUGAGUGAUGAAGUUCUUCGGAUCGUAAAACUCUGUUAUUAGGGAAGCGGUACCUAAUCAGAAAGCCACGGCUAACUACGUGCCAGCAGCCGCGGUAAUUC